AACGAACGUUGGCGGCGUGGAUGAGGCAUGCAAGUCGAACGCGAAAGCCGCAAGGUGAGUAGAGUGGCGGACGGGCGAGUAACACGUAAUCAAGCUGCCUGCGAGACGGGAAUAACUUCGGGAAACCGAAGCUAAGACCCGAUGGCCUGCACGGACCGCAUGGUUGGUGCAGUAAAUGGGCGGGAUCCUUCGGGACCGCCUGCUCGCAGAGGUGAUUGCGGCCCAUCAGCUAGUUGGUAGGGUAAUGGCCUACCAAGGCUACGACGGGUAGCCGGCCUUAGAGGGUGGUCGGCCGCACUGGGACUGAGACACUGCCCAGACUCCUACGGGAGGCUGCAGUCGAGAAUCUUCCGCAAUGGGCGAAAGCCUGACGCAGCGACGCCGCGUGAGGGA
rnacentral:rRNA from 1 species